rnacentral:tRNA from 1 species
UUGUCCCGUGGUGUAAUGGUAACACGUCAGAUUCUGGCUCUGAAAUUGAGGAUUCGAAUUCUUCCGGGACAACUUG